rnacentral:lncRNA from 1 species
CAAAUGAAAAAGGAGGUCGAACAAGCCUUUUUGGCAUGGAAAUAAUUUAGGGUACUUCCCUUUUGUCACACAUAAUAGAGACCUUUCACAAAGUUUCUAUGUGUAGGAGGAUAAGGAUAUAAUUUUAGGUUUAAAUUCAAACGUUUUGAAUUCAACUUAAAACCAACCUAAUCCUAUCACUAAUGGGUGACAAUGGGAGGGCUUUGACAUGAAUUAUUCAGUAUACAAAAUAAUUUGUGUGAUGAAAGAAGGCAUAGAGAGAAGGGGAGGCGCAAAGGGAGAGAGAGUUUCAUUCAUUUGGGACUCUAGGAUUUAGCUAAUUGGAUUUCUUUCAAACCCAAUCCAAUUAGAUCCAAAUAAAAUAUGAUAAACCUAAUCUAAUUAGACUCCUAUAGCCUUAAUUAAAUGUGAUCAAAUCAGCAAAUUAAUUGAGUCAUAGACCCAAUCAAAUUAGGAUCAAUUCUCCCUUACCUAUUAGGUCAUCUCAUAAUCUAAUCAAAUCUGACUUGAUUGAAUCCAAUUCAAUCAGACUUGAUCCAGACUUUAAUGCUCAAUCAAAUUAAGUUAAUUAGUGAUCUAAUCACUGACUAAUCUUUCAUUAAUGAUAAAGUCCCAAUCCAGUAGGACUCUUUACUAGCAUCUCCGUCUAGUGGGACUCUUGAGAUUAGCUAUCCGAUCGGAGAGGAACUUCUAAUGUGUGUGACUCCAUAGGUUUGAACCUA